AUAAAACUAUGGCUGGGGUAGCUCCGGUCAAUGAUAAUCUGCUUUUCUGGUUCGUAAAUCACCAAUACAAUUAUCAGGAUUCAAAGAUGGUCGAAGAUCCAAAGAUGAUCAAACAAAUGGUUCUAGAGACCAUCAAGGGUUUCCCU